rnacentral:lncRNA from 1 species
AAGCGAUACCAGAGACGAAGUUUGGCUGUUCCAACACCUUAGCAAUCGGCCGCGAUUUAUGCCGCGUGAUUGUUGGCAUGCUUCAGUAAGUUCUGUUGAACCUUAUAGUGUGCGACUAGUGGAAGCAAUUGGUGUUGAAUUGAUAUCUUUUCUUUCUUUCUUCGCUCAUGUUUGUUUUCUUCGGUUUUGGAUUUGUAUUUUAAAUUACAAAUUUCAUUACAUAUAUAAUACGUAUGUGUAUAUACGGAUCUUUUCGGUUUGAACGGCAGCUUUUUCUAGUGGUGUCAUAUGAAAUUGUCACCCAUAAUUAUGACCCUAGUAUCGAUCUAUUGCAUUUCAAUCUAUUUUAAGGUUAGGGGUGGGGGAAGGGUAUCUUCUUUUCUUCACAAAUGUAAAUAAACCCAAUCUGUUUCUUAAACGAGGGACAUAUUUAUACGGCACAGAAUGUUGUUUACCUCAAUGGACGUCAGUGAUUGGUUGAAAUUGAAGAAAAAAUUGUCGUUCAAACCGAAAAGAUCCGUAUAUACUUAUUGAAUACAAAAGACAAAAAAAAAAUGAGAAAAAAACGUGGUUUUGUAUUAUAUAUGUAUUGUAUACAUACGUGUUAUACUUCAAUAAAAAUCUUUUAGAUAAAGCUACAGAGAGAGUGAAGGAGGUGUGACAACAGACGGCUUGGAAUUUAAUGGAAAUAAUAAGUGUUUGAAUUGCUUUCACAAGGUGACCCACUCCUUUGUAUUUUGUUACAACCAAUCAGUGAGUUUAUACAUAUUAUGUCUUCCUAGUUCUUAUUGUAUGUACGUUUUUAUUUUUCUUGUUGCAUGGCAAGUGAAAAUAUACAAUAGUUACGACAGAUAUCUGAAGAUAUCUAACCCUAAUAUUUAAUGUAAUAUUUUGAUGACUAUCUCAAGCUUAGAUUUUUUUUUUACUGACUCGGGAGCUUCUCCAUGUUCGUGGGACCUAUACGUUUGAAAUUGAUGUCUGAUUCCAAUCAAGCGCAAAGCUUGGAUUAAAUUAUAUAGUUCCUGAGGCUGCUAGUCGUUCUGUGAAUUUUGUAUUAUAAUUCCAUUCGCGUCUAGGUUGCUAGAUGUAAGGAUCUCAUUAAAAUUCUCCCAGCCACUUGAAGUAUUUACAGUUUUCGUCAGAAUAUUUUUUUUAAUGUAUUUCUGAUGCAAUUUUGUAUGCUGAUGACAAAAAUCGUAUUCAUUUGCUUUUCUUUUCCUAUAGAACUUAUUUAUAAGGAAGUUAACACUUUGAAUGGUUGGAGAAAAUUUUAAAAGGUCUUUACAUCGCUGUUAAAUCAGUGGUACUCGAUUUUAUUAUAUCAACUCCAAAAGUAGGAAAGUUGAAGCUGAUAUUGGAGGAAUUUGAAUUGAGAACAUAAAAGCCGCAAGCAUUUCAUUAGAUGCCCUUCACCAGUCCUACUUAAAGUGGUGAUCCGCGAGCCAUCAGCUGCCAGUACGCGGUGAGUUUCCAGAAAAGAAACAUUAUAGAAUGCUUAUACAAUGCUUAUGUAAUAUUGUAUUAUUUGUUUACGAAAUAAAUACAAGAUAAAAAAUUGUCAACUUUUAUUAUAUUCAUUAUAUAUAUAUCGUUUCCGAUAUAAAUUAGUAUUGCUAAUAUUUCCUGUCUACGCCCUACACAAUUUUGCAAUCCACUGCUUCUUGUUAGUUUUCAGAUGAAGGAAUAGUUUCACUCCACUAUUUUGAAGUUUGACGUAAAGUUUUUUUGCUGUCUUGAAUGAUAUAUGUACGUGCAUGUGUAUGGACGCAUUGAAUUAUAUGUAUACUUCCUUUAUUACUCUUUUCUGUUUUACUUGUUUCAGUCAUUGGAUUGCGGUUUUGGGAGGGGCACCGACUUGAAGUGUUUAGUCGAACAGAUCGACUACAGUACUUAGGAAACAAAAAAUCCGGUACUUUUUG